rnacentral:rRNA from 1 species
GAACUGAAGAGUUUGAUCCUGGCUCAGAUUGAACGCUGGCGGUAUGCUUAACACAUGCAAGUCGAACGGAAACGGAACUAGCUUGCUAGUAGACGUCGAGUGGCGGACGGGUGAGUAACGCGUAGGAAUCUGCCUGAUAGUGGGGGAUAGCCCGAAGAAAUUCGGAUUAAUACCGCAUAAUCUAUUCGUAGUAAAGUGGGGGACUUUCGAGCCUCACGCUAUCAGAUGAGCCUGCGUAAGAUUAGCUUGUUGGUAGGGUAAAAGCCUACCAAGGCAACGAUCUUUAGCUGGUCUGAGAGGAUGAUCAGCCACAUCGGGACUGAGACACGGCCCGAACUCCUACGGGAGGCAGCAGUGGGGAAUAUUGGACAAUGGGGGCAACCCUGAUCCAGCAAUACCGCGUGUGUGAAGAAGGCCCGAGGGUUGUAAAGCACUUUCAAUUGUGAAGAAAAGUUAACGGUUAAUAACCGUUAACCUUGACGUUAACUUUAGAAGAAGCACCGGCUAACUCCGUGCCAGCAGCCGCGGUAAUACGGAGGGUGCAAGCGUUAAUCGGAAUUACUGGGCGUAAAGCGUGCGUAGGCGGUUUAUUAAGUCAGAUGUGAAAGCCCCGGGCUUAACCUGGGAACUGCAUUUGAAACUGGUCAACUAGAGUAUGGUAGAGGAAAGUGGAAUU